rnacentral:rRNA from 1 species
GACGAACGCUGGCGGCGUGCCUAACACAUGCAAGUCGAACGGAACCCUUUUGACAGAUUUCUUCGGAAUGAAUUUGAUUUCGUUUACUUGCGGACGGGGGAGUAACUCGUGAGUACCCUGCCUUCAAGAGGGGAAUAACAUUCUCAAAAGAAUGCUCAUACCACGUGACAUAGCGGAACCACAUGGUUUUGAUAUCAAAGAUUUUAUCGCUUGAAGAUCGACUCGCGUCCGUUUAGUUAGUGGGGGAGCUAAGGGCUCACCAAGACCGCGCUCGGUAGCCGGACUGCGAAGUGGCACGGCGACCUGGGGAGUGAGAAACCGCGCAGACUCCUACGGGAGGCAGCAGUGGGGGAUCUUGAGCAAUGGGCGCAACCAAGAGGGAGCGACGCCGCGUGAAGCAUGAAGGUUGUCGGAUUGUAAACUUCUUUUAUUAAGGACGAAUAAUGACGGUACCUAAUGAACAAGCUCCGGCUAACUACGUG